AUGGCGGAGCUACUGAAACUAAAAAGUGAAGCUGAAGAGCUCCGAAAGGACUACUUCCUCAGAAACAGCCAAGCUGAGGAGAACAGACAGAAGGAAAACCAGGCCGCCACUCGGAUUCAGAGCUGGUUCAGAGCCUGCAAGGUGCAGACUUACCUCAGCCAUCUGCACAAGAAGGCAAUCAUUAUACAGAAGAUAUGGCGGGGCUUCACAGCAAGGGCACGUUUCAGACAAAUGGUGAAGGCGGCAUAUUUUAUCAUGAAGAUGAAUUUCUACGAGGAGAUGGCGGUCAGGAUCCAGCGGCGAUGGAGAGGAGUCUUUGUGAGGAAGUACAUCCACAACUUCUAUGCACGCAAGAGCUAUCUGGAAGGACUUUCCAGAAAAAAUGAACUUGUCAGGAGGGAGCUGGAUGAACUUGAGGAACUCCAGAAGAGAGAGAGAGACUGUCUGGAGAUGAUAAAAGAGCAGACAGCCAAGGUCUACCAAGCUCACCGGUUACACCACCUUCUCAGUACAAAGCAGUGCCCAGGGGUCUUCAACUCUCCAUUCAAGCCAGUCCCCCAUGAGAUAGAGCUGCUGCUGAGGCAGGUCAAGUACCAGGCCCCCACCAGACUGGCCCCCAGGGGCAGGGCUUGUCUCUUGGGCAUGCCUAACUCAACAGCUCAGAGUUUCCCUGGGCGUCUUGGAUCCCCAUGGACCAAAACCACUAGAACCCGCUGUUCCUCCAGACCCAUACUGCCCCCCAUUGCCAGCAAGAAACAGCAGGGUCUGUUCAGAGAGCCAGGGGAAGUGUUGGAGCAGCGUGUGCUCUGUCCUGACCUGAGAUUGCGUCUGCAGACCUCUUACACACACCUGGAGGAGGCCCAGAAUCAGCUACGACAACUGGACCAGAGGAACAGGAAGUGUGUUCCUCCAUCUGAGCCACAGCAGCAGUUCCUUUCCAGUGCCAGCCUGUGCUAAGAACUUCAGAGAGUCAAUUACACACUAACUCCAAGAGGAGUGCCAAGUUUAGGACAUCUACAAAUUUCUUUGGACAUCACACAACUUUCCAGCCGUUCAAGAAAGUGUUCGCCACCUACAACGUCUUUGAUGAGUUCACUUGUCUGUACUCCAGGUCAGGCAGCAUUUUAUGAUACACCUCCUCCUGGCCUGAGAAAAUAAAGUGAAGUAC